rnacentral:rRNA from 1 species
UGCUCCCGGCCGCCAUGGCGGCCGCGGGAAUUCGAUUAGAGUUUGAUCAUGGCUCAGAUUGAACGCUGGCGGCAGGCCUAACACACGCGAGUCGAGCGGUAGAGAGGUGCUUGCACCUCUUGAGAGCGGCGGACGGGUGAGUAAUGCCUAGGAAUCUGCCUGGUAGUGGGGGAUAACGCUCGGAAACGGACGCUAAUACCGCAUACGUCCUACGGGAGAAAGCAGGGGACCUUCGGGCCUUGCGCUAUCAGAUGAGCCUAGGUCGGAUUAGCUAGUUGGUAGGGUAAAGGCCUACCAAGGCGACGAUCCGUAGCUGGUCUGAGAGGACGGCCAGCCACACUGGGACUGAGACACGGCCCAGACUCCUACGGGAGGCAGCAGUGGGGGAUAUUGGACAAUGGGGGGAACCCUGAUCCAGCGAUGCCGCGUGUGUGAAGAAGGCCUUCAAGGUUGUAAAGCACUUUAGGAGAGGAAGAAGGGGUUAACCUGAAGAAGGGUAGUUCUUGACGGUACUCUCAGAAUAAGCACCGGCUAACUCUGUGCCAGCAGCCGCGGUAAUACGAAUCACUAGUGAAUUCGCGGCCGCCUGCAGGUCGACCAUAUGGGAGAGCUCCCAACG